rnacentral:lncRNA from 1 species
GCUCGUCGUUUGUGAGCAUAGGGUAACCAUUGCCUACGUGGAUCUUGUCAGAGACGAUGGCUCGAGAAGAAAAGUCAACGACAAUCUCUCGAGACUUUCCGUUGUCUCGAGCGAUGACGAAAGCCUGACGUGGAGGUGGUUUGAUGUUGUGUUUCGGUGAUGAGUACCAAGACAAGACUAGAGACUUGUCGGGUUCGUUGAGACCAACGUAUUGAAAAGUAAACUUGUGGCUCGGACCAAUGGGGUACGUCUUGUUAAUGAUGGUUUGGACGAGUUUGAGUUCGGUUUCGGUUAAGGGAUCAAAUGGGUGACGCGGUGGAGCAAAGCUUGAAGAUGAGAUUGCAAAAAUGAAAGAAAAGAAGAUGAAAAUGGUGAAGUGGAGUUGAGCCAUAUUGUUCUUUGUGAACGGUUUAUUGUUUGAUUUAAUGGACUUGGUUUAUGUUUAAAUUUAUAGGCAAAUGUGUAUCCGUAAGAGGAUUUAAACUAAUAUUUUUUUGGCGCGGAAGAAAUCAAUAAACACUUAGGUUUUUAUAAGAGCAUGUUUAUUGUAGGUUUAUUAGGUUGAGUCUGUUAGCAUAAUAUAAAAUACGGUCUAAACUUCAUCUAUAAAUAACAUCUAAGUACAAGUCACUUAAGUGACUUCUCAAUUAAUAUAUAGUAGGAUAUAUGUUUUAAUCGAACCUAAGAGCAUGUUUAUUACAGGUCUUUUAGGUUGUGUCUCUUAGCGUAAUAUAAAAUACGGUCUCUUAGUUUUUAACUAAAAAAGCUAAGAGACGUAGACAUCUCUUAAAUAAUGUACGAACCGAUAACAAAAAAAAGACAAUUUUUUCCCUUUGUAAAAAGCAUUCAGAUAAUAACUAUUUAUUCCCUCAAAUUUAAACCUUUAGUUUCCAUAUAGAGCAUAGCAAGAUCUCAUCUUUAACGGUGUGUCUCCCGUUAAGUCAUAGUUGUUAAUCCUUUUUUUUUAGCAACAGUUGUUAAUCAUUAUACCUCACGACGUGUCCAUCGAUCUUGAAUCCUGGACCGUCCGGCUGCAUAAAGACGGCAUUUUGAAGCGUCGGGCCAAACGGCGGCUUAAGUUCCGAGAUACGGUACUCCGUUCCGUUAGCCUUCGGCAUAAUAACCGUUAACCUAUCCGUAAACUCCGUUACCUUCAUCACGUCAAGGUUAACGAGAAUCGUCAUUCCUUCAAUAGGUCUAAGAUACAUAUUAAUGGUCCCGUCAAGAUAAAACGGCAUCAUUCUAAUAACCCUCUCCGUCUCCGCCUCACUCUCACCAUACCAGCCAACUGUUGACGUCGUGAACACAAUCUCCGAAACGUUUAAACCACGUUUUGUGACCGAGUCAAGAAACGGCUUGAACUUGAGAACAAGCUCGGUGGCUGCUUCUUGCUCGUCGUUUGUGAGCAUAGGGUAACCAUUGCCUACGUGGAUCUUGUCAGAGACGAUGGCUCGAGAAGAAAAGUCAACGACAAUCUCUCGAGACUUUCCGUUGUCUCGAGCGAUGACGAAAGCCUGACGUGGAGGUGGUUUGAUGUUGUGUUUCGGUGAUGAGUACCAAGACAAGACUAGAGACUUGUCGGGUUCGUUGAGACCAACGUAUUGAAAAGUAAACUUGUGGCUCGGACCAAUGGGGUACGUCUUGUUAAUGAUGGUUUGGACGAGUUU